rnacentral:rRNA from 1 species
GGCUCAGGAUGAACGCUAGCGACAGGCUUAACACAUGCAAGUCGAGGGGCAGCGGUGGUGAAGGCUUGCCUUUACCAGCCGGCGACCGGCGCACGGGUGAGUAACACGUAUGCAACCUGCCUGCCACAGCCGGAUAAUCGGGAGAAAUUCCGUCUAAUACGGCAUAAUGCAUCGACGGGACAUCCUGUUGGUGCCAAAGGUUAAUUCCGGUGGCGGAUGGGCAUGCGUCGCAUUAGUUAGUUGGCGGUGUAACGGACCACCAAGACGACGAUGCGUAGGGGUUCUGAGAGGAAGGUCCCCCACACUGGUACUGAGACACGGACCAGACUCCUACGGGAGGCAGCAGUGAGGAAUAUUGGUCAAUGGGCGGGAGCCUGAACCAGCCAAGUCGCGUGAGGGAUGACGGCCCUAUGGGUUGUAAACCUCUUUUGCCGGGGAGCAAAGUGCCGCACGUGUGCGGUUUGGAGAGUACCCGGAGAAAAAGCAUCGGCUAACUCCGUGCCAGCAGCCGCGGUA